rnacentral:lncRNA from 1 species
UCCAACUGAAGUACCACCAGCCCGUCCUCCAAGCAAAGAACCAAAAGUGAUUACCUACAGAACCUAAACACCUAGCCUAACCUAAGCCUAUAUAUAUGCAAAAUAUGCUAAUAUAUUAUAUUAUUAAUUUAUAUAUGAGAAAAUUCUUGUUUUGAAUGAGCAUGUAAAGAUUUAUGAAUGAGUCUGUGGGGUCGACCGCUGGAUGUAAUGGACUUGGGUCGAGGACAGGUUGAUAAAUGCUUCACCUACGAAGCAAAAUUACAAAUAAUCUCCAACAGAACCUAAACACCUAACCUAACCUACACCAAACUAUACAUAGAAUUUUUAUGUAUAAUAAUAUUAAUUUAUAUGUAAGAACAAACCAAUUUUCAAUACACAGUUUGUUAAAAUUGAUGAAUGUAUCUGGGGAGGACGGCCGCUGCUUGAAGCAGCCUAGAGUGUGUGAAUGCCGUCCACUCAGGCGAAAGACGCCAGUGUUGGAUCAGCUUGCUUGGAGUGGACAUGGGGGACGCUGCUAACAACAAUCCGUUAGACCAAGGUCGCCGGAGGCAGGAGGAAGCUCGUUUGACGCAAGUGGCUGCUCGCAUGACGCAGGUGGCUGCUCGCAUGACGCAGGUGACAGCUCAUAUCCCGCAGGUAACAGUUCGCUUCCCGCAGGUGACUGGUUGCUUGUCGCUGGUGACAGCUCGCUUGUCGCAGGUGUCAGCUGGCUUGACGCAGGAGACAACUCGCUUGACACAGGAGGCAGCUCGCUUGGCGCAGGAGGUAGCUGGCUUGCGGGAGGUGGCAGAUCGCUUGACACAGGAGACGGCUGGCUUGAGGCAGGAGGCAACUAGCUUGUCGCAGGAGACGGCUGGCUUGACGCAGGAGACAACUCCAGGUGGGCAGAGUCCAGCUACCUGGGAGUAGAACGCCUGCCUUCCUCAACAUCUACCCGGGGCCCCCAGCAUCUACCCUGGGCCCUCAGCAUCCACUCUGACUCCCAACAUCUACCUUGGGGCCCUAAGCAUGCUCUUUGGCCUCCAACAUAUACCACUGGGCCGCCAGGAUCUACCCGAGGGCCUCCAGCAUCUACCCGGGGGCCCCCAUCUACCCGGGCCCUCCGUCACCUUCCUCCACUCAGCUGAGAUUGCCGAUUCCCAAGGUUAGUGAGGCUACCAGACUGAUGCUCAAGGAGGUUCCAGGGAUCACUGGCCCCGGGGCCUGGCCUCCACCUCCACUAGUCCACAGAAAGUGUACGAUACGGUAUUCAGGUUUAGGUCCACCUUGAGCCAGGUGCUUGACCACUUUGUGUAAUGUUGAAGAAGAGUUUGGGACUAGAAAAAUGUUGUUCUUGCCCAUUUGUAUUUAGGCCAGAGUUUCGAUAUCUAGUGUUCACAUCGUUCAAUUUUCUUAGACCAGACUCUGUUAUUUGAUAAUCAAUUUUAUCCUAUGAGGUGAGAGCCAACUAGUCAGUACAUAUGUAUAUAUAUUUAUGAUGCCAAAUAAGAUGAAUUUACUUUAUAUUUGAAACUAUUAUGAACACAAUUUUCUUGGCUGGGAAGCUUCACUCAUUACUGUCAAUGUGAUCAAUAUUGUGAUGUAAAUAUUUAUAUAAAUCUGAAGCUCCAUUUUCUGUGUUCAAUGAUCUGAUAAGUACAGAAUACCUACAAAAUGUAAGCAUUAAUAUUCUGCAAUGUGAUAAACCUUUUCCUGUAUUGUAUGUGCACAGUUUGACACGCAGAAUGUAGCAUAUUUAUAAUAUUGCCUCAACGUAAACUUUUUUUUUUUGGUAUUGAAUACAAAAUUUAAACAUUUAGCCAGACGGUUAAGGGUCGGGUUAAAUAGCCUAAAUAUGUGUAGAAUAGUAAACCCCACAUUGUUUGAGAUAGGAAAAUACUAUUUGUCAAAUGUAGAUA